CCUACGGGCGGCAGCAGUAGGGAAUAUUGCUCAAUGGGGGAAACCCUGAAGCAGCAACGCCGCGUGGAGGAUGAAGGUUUUCGGAUUGUAAACUCCUUUUGUUAGGGAAGAUAAUGACGGUAUCUAACGAAUAAGCACCGGCUAACUCCGUGCCAGCAGCCGCGGUAAUACGGAGGGUGCAAGCGUUACUCGGAAUCACUGGGCGUAAAGAGCGCGUAGGCGGGAUAGCAAGUCAGAUGUGAAAUCCUAUGGCUUAACCAUAGAACUGCAUUUGAAACUGUUAUUCUAGAGUAUGGGAGAGGUAGGUGGAAUUCUUGGUGUAGGGGUAAAAUGCGUAGAGAUUAAGAGGAAUACUCAUUGCGAAGGCGACCUGCUAGAACAUAACUGACGCUGAUGCGCGAAAGCGUGGGGAGCAAACAGGAUUAGAUACCCGGGUAGUC
rnacentral:rRNA from 1 species